GACGAGGGAUCCAAGCGUUGUUCGGAAUCAUUGGGCGUAAAGCGGGUGUAGGUGGCUUUGUAAGUCGGGUGUGAAAGCCCAGGGCUCAACCCUGGAAGUGCAUUCGAUACUGCGAAGCUUGAGUGUAGGAGAGGUUACUAGAAUUCUUGGUGUAGUGGUGAAAUACGUAGAUAUCAAGAGGAAUACCGGAGGCGAAGGCGGGUAACUGGCCUAACACGUGACACUCAGACCCGAAAGCGUGGGGAUCAAACAGG
rnacentral:rRNA from 1 species